rnacentral:rRNA from 1 species
AUUGAACGCUGGCGGCAGGCCUAACACAUGCAAGUCGAGCGGUAGAGAGGUGCUUGCAUCUCUUGAGAGCGGCGGACGGGUGAGUAAUGCCUAGGAAUCUGCCUGGUGGUGGGGGAUAACGUUCGGAAACGGACGCUAAUACCGCAUACGUCCUACGGGAGAAAGCGGGGGAUCUUCGGACCUCGCGCCAUUAGAUGAGCCUAGGUCGGAUUAGCUAGUUGGUGAGGUAAUGGCUCACCAAGGCGACGAUCCGUAACCGGUCUGAGAGGAUGAUCAGUCACACUGGAACUGAGACACGGUCCAGACUCCUACGGGAGGCAGCAGUAGGGAAUAUUGGACAAUGGGCGAAAGCCUGAUUCAGCCAUGCCGCGUGUGUGAAGAAGGUCUUCGGAUUGUAAAGCACUUUAAGUUGGGAGGAAGGGUCGUAACCUAAUACGUUGCGGCUUUGACGUUACCGACAGAAUAAGCACCGGCUAACUUCGUGCCAGCAGCCGCCGUAACAC